rnacentral:rRNA from 1 species
CCGGUUGAUCCUGCCGGAGGCCAUUGCUAUUGGAGUCCGAUUUAGCCAUGCUAGUUGUACGAGUUUAGACUCGUAGCAGAUAGCUCAGUAACACGUGGCCAAACUACCCUCUGGAGCGCGACAACCUCGGGAAACUGAGGCUAAUCGUGCAUACCGCUCUCACGCUGGAAGUUGCGGAGAGCUCGAAACGCCUCCCGGCGCCAGAGGAUGUGGCUGCGGCCGAUUAGGUAGACGGUGGGGUAACGGCCCGCCGUGCCAGUAAUCGGUACGGGUUGUGAAGAGCAAGAGCCCGGAGACGGUAUCUGAGACAAGAUACCGGGCCCUACGGGGCGCAGCAGGCGCGAAACCUUUACACUGCACGCCAGUGCGAUAAGGGGACUCCAAGUGCGAGGGCAUAGAGCCCUCGCUUUUCACGACCGUAAGGAGGUCGUAGAAUAAGUGCUGGGCAAGACCGGUGCCAGCCGCCGCGGUAAUACCGGCAGCACGAGUGAUGGCCGCUCUUAUUGGGCCUAAAGCGUCCGUAGCUGGCCGCGCAAGUCCAUCGGGAAUUCCGCACGCUCAACGUGCGGGCGUCCGGUGGAAACUGCGUGGCUUGGGACCGGAAGAUCCAGAGGGUACGUCCGGGGUAGGAGUGAAAUCCUGUAAUCCUGGACGGACCACCGGUGGCGAAGCGCUCUGGAAAGGACGGAUCCGACGGUGAGGGACGAAAGCUCGGGUCACGAACCGGAUUAGAUACCCGGGUAGUCCGAGCUGUAAACGAUGUCUGCUAGGUGUGCCACAGGCUACGAGCCUGUGGUGUGCCGUAGGGAAGCCGUGAAGCAGACCGCCUGGGAAGUACGUCCGCAAGGAUGAAACU